ACCUGCUUCGUUACUGCUUGAUAUAUAUAUUGCAUAUAUCUAUCCGUGCCUGCUUGAGACCUAGUGGGUAGAUCGGCGGAGUCGGCGGCCGAACCCACUGGGAACUAUUCGUAGUUCUCACCCCCGUGUGGUUUUGGGGGUACAGGUACACAGGACAGCGGGCCUUCAUCGAUGGAUCGCGGUAAGGGCAUAGUGCCCUAGCUUUUGGUAGAUAGCUUACUUUACCUAUUUGCAUUAGCUCUACCCUGUACCAUACUUUUACAUUUUGAGAGUAGAUGUUGUGUAGGGUGAGGUUUUGGAGAGAUUAUGAUGUAUUUACAUUUUGGAAAAGAAUGCAAGUUGUAUCAAUGUUUAAAGUUAAAAUGAUAUAAAAAGAGAUUAAAUGUUUCAAUUAUGUCUCUAUUAGUUAAGUUUCUCUCUUUUGUAUACUUGU
rnacentral:lncRNA from 1 species